UAGGGAAUCUUCGGCAAUGGGGGGAACCCUGACCGAGCAACGCCGCGUGAGUGAAGAAGGUUUUCGGAUCGUAAAGCUCUGUUGUUAAGGAAGAACGAGUGUGAGAAUGGAAAGUUCAUGCUGUGACGGUACUUAACCAGAAAGGGACGGCUAACUACGUGCCAGCAGCCGCGGUAAUACGUAGGUGGCAAGCGUUGUCCGGAUUUAUUGGGCGUAAAGCGAGCGCAGGCGGUCAAUUAAGUCUGAUGUGAAAGCCCCCGGCUCAACCGGGGAGGGUCAUUGGAAACUGGUUGACUUGAGUGCAGAAGAGGAGAGUGGAAUUCCAUGUGUAGCGGUGAAAUGCGUAGAUAUAUGGAGGAACACCGGUGGCUAAAGCGGCUCUCUGGUCUGUAACUGACGCUGAGGCUCGAAAGCGUGGGGAGCGAACAGG
rnacentral:rRNA from 1 species